rnacentral:rRNA from 1 species
AACAAACGCUGGCGGCGUGCCUAAUACAUGCAAGUCGAACGGGGUAGCAAUACCUAGUGGCGCACGGGUGAGUAACGCGUGGAUAAUCUGCCUUAGAGUGGGGGAUAACUAGUCGAAAGAUUAGCUAAUACCGCAUAAGACCACAAGAACUGCGGUUCAAGGGGUCAAAGUUUUUCGCUCUAAGAUGAGUCCGCGUAAGAUUAGCUAGUUGGUGAGGUGAUGGCUCACCAAGGCGACGAUCUUUAACUGGUCUGAGAGGAUGAUCAGUCACACUGGAACUGAGACACGGUCCAGACUCCUACGGGAGGCAGCAGUAGGGAAUAUUGCACAAUGGAGGAAACUCUGAUGCAGCGACGCCGCGUGAGUGAUGAAGGCCUUCGGGUCGUAAAGCUCUGUCGCAGGGGAAUAACACAAUGAAUGUACCCUGUAAGAAAGGAUCGGCUAACUUCGUGCCAGCCGCCGCCGUAACAC